UAGAGUAUCAAUGAUCGCAUGCCCUUCCUCAUUUCCCUGAUAGUAAAGUUGCUCAAACGCUGAAAAGUUGAGUGCGUAUAUUAACUCAAUUGGACACAAUUUGUUGCGCUUACUAGGCUGCACGCGACUCCCGCGAAAUGUGCUUUUGGUUAUUGCUAUUGUGCCAAGCUUUGAAAUCAGCUUGUUAAAAAAAACUUACAUAAUCAACUUUUUUUCUUUUUUUUUUUUUACAGACGACGUUAAGGCUGUCACUGGGUGGUGGCGGAAUCUCCGCGACACCUUCGGGAAGCGUCUGUGGGAUAGCAAAAAAAAAAAGGAGUGGCGCAGGUGCCGGUGAACCGCAGUCCUGCUGGCAGCAUUCUAAAGAUUUGCUAUUCCUGCGGGACUUCGUGGAGCCACGCCCGACAACCAGCAAUAUGGACAGCGUCCACGAGGACUCCAUUGAUGAUGUCCUAAAUGGGUACGAAGAGGAGUUGGAGGAAGCACCAUCAGAGCUUCUGCUGACAAUGGUCAACAUGCCUGCAUCCUCCCCCCUUCCCCUCUUGUCUACUUGCUCUCUCCCUACUUUACGCUAUGCCACUACUGAUUGCUAUCAAGCCUCCAUCCCUAAUUCACACAACCUCCUGCCUUCCCCUAGAUCUAUUUCUGCUGCCCUUUCCCAAGCCCCUGCCCCCUCACCCAGCACACACCGACCAAAGCCACAGAAAAAAAGGACAACACUGAUGCACUCGUUCAAGACAACAGCCACAGAGCAUUUUUUUAUCACUCGUAGACACGAUGGACGAAGUGCCCAAGCACCUGCAGGGGUACUACAAAAUUCAUUUUAUCGAAGUGCUCACGCAGUACCGAAUGGGGAAUAUCCCAACCACCCUUUCGACGGUGUGCGGGCCUCAGCACUAAAAGUAAUAUAUACACAUUUAAAAUGUCAAACUAUUAACAUCGCCCUUUGACACGGCACAACUAGAAACAUGAUUCCUGCCAUACACCUCAGCAAGACACUGUCAUAAAACACCGACAGAUAAUGCCCAAUCUUCCCUACUAGUCUUCCUGUAAAUUCAUUUACUAUUUUGUGCUGUACAGAAAGAAAAAAAUAUGCAAUAAAAUCAUGAUUUGAAA